rnacentral:ribozyme from 13 species
UUUUUUUUUUUUUUUUUUUUUUUCUUUCUAGCU